rnacentral:rRNA from 1 species
CCUACGGGUGGCUGCAGUGAGGAAUAUUGGUCAAUGACCGUAAGGCUGAACCAGCCGAGUCGCGUGAAGGAAGAAGGAUCUCUGGUUUGUAAACUUCUUUUAUAGGGGAAUAAAGGUAUCCACGUGUGGAUAUUUGCAUGUACCCUAUGAAUAAGCAUCGGCUAACUCCGUGCCAGCAGCCGCGGUAAUACGGAGGAUGCGAGCGUUAUCCGGAUUUAUGGGGUUUAAAGUGUGCGUAGGUUGUUUUUUAAGUCAGCGGUGAAAGUUUGUGGAUCAAACAUAAAAUUGCCGUUGAUACUGGAAGACUUGAGUGUGUUAGAGGUAGGCGGAAUGCGAGGUGAAGCGGUGAAAUGCAGAGAUAUCACGCAGAACUCCGAUUGCGAAGGCAGCUUACUAAGCCAUAACUGACACUGAAGGACGAAAGCGUGGGGAUCAAACAGGAUUAGAUACCCCUGUAGUC